rnacentral:misc_RNA from 1 species
AAGUCGUAACAAGGUUUCCGUAGGUGAACCUGCGGAAGGAUCAUUAACACGGUUAGAUUGUUCCAUUUGGAUUGUCAGUCUAUUUUUUCUUUAAUCGCCGCACACCUUGUUAAAAAACGGACUUUGUUCGAACCAGGAAAUUGAGAGCAAGCUGCUUGAUUGACUCUCUCGGUUGUUGAUUGAUGGGUGGCCUCUCUCGGUUGACAAACUACUUGGUUUUUGAAUCUCACGGUCCGUCAUCAAUCACUUGGAGCUUUUUCUUUUUUGAUAUAAACACCUUUUCGUACUACUACCAGUCUGAAUCGUUUGAUCUCUCUGCCUCUUUUUCUUUUUUUUCUUUCUGAGAAAAGAGAGAGAGAGCGCGUUGGGAAAGAACAAAAAAACAACUUUGAACAACUCUUAGCAACGGAUAUCUCGGUUCUC